AGUGAACGCUGGCGGUAGGCCUAACACAUGCAAGUCGAACGGCAGCACAGUAAGAGCUUGCUCUUACGGGUGGCGAGUGGCGGACGGGUGAGGAAUACAUCGGAAUCUACUUUUUCGUGGGGGAUAACGUAGGGAAACUUACGCUAAUACCGCAUACGACCUACGGGUGAAAGCAGUGGAUCUUCGCACCUUGCGCGGUUGAAUGAGCCGAUGUCGGAUUAGCUAGUUGGCGGGGUAAAGGCCCACCAAGGCGACGAUCCGUAGCUGGUCUGAGAGGAUGGUCAGCCACACUGGAACUGAGACACGGUCCAGACUCCUACGGGAGGCAGCAGUGGGGAAUAUUGGACAAUGGGCGCAAGCCUGAUCCAGCCAUACCGCGUGGGUGAAGAAGGCCUUCGGGUUGUAAAGCCCUUUUGUUGGGAAAGAAAAGCAGCAGGUUAAUACCCCGCUGUUCUGACGGUACCCAAAGAAUAAGCACCGGCUAACUUCGUG
rnacentral:rRNA from 1 species